UACCUGGAAAAAGGAGAGACCACAGAGAAAUGUUUUUCUACUUAUUAAUUGCUGUUUUCCUUUCAGACACAUUGUGAAGGACUCAGGCUGGAAUGGUGGCAAGUAUCUGAUAUUUGCUGCUUCCCAGCGAUGUACAACCAAACUCACCACACACGCACAUCCAAUGGAUCCUCGGGGUUUCCUUCUGCCACCCUUCUGGGAUAGUCUAAGCUCCAAUAAUAAAGGGAACUGGAAACUCCCGAGUCUCACAAAGGGGGAAGAAAAACAAAUGUUACAUGUGGAAAUCGUGUAAGGCCCAAGAAGCCUUACUCAGCAGCCAUUAACUCAAAGAUCUGAUAAUAACAACAGAUGGCUGUUAUAUAAUUUAUUUGCGGAUUCAUAGUGCAGAAUCAUCACAUUCCAAGCGAUAAAACAUCUUGCUUGUUGAGGAGUGUGUUCUUAGCCCCGUUAGGAAUGGCACCGACAGACAAAGCAAUUCUGUACGUGGCCUCAAACCUAGCGCAAAUGGAGUUCACACGCACUCAUUUUAGAAAGACCGGAAGUGGUGUUUAGAGGGGCAGUGGGGAAGGCAGCAGGUCACAGGGGGAUGGGGCUUCCUUUGUAGAACUUAGGACAAGCAGUUCCUGGGUAAUGGUGUGGCAGACACUGUUUAAUAAUUCAGCAACCAUUCACGUGCCCGCUUUCUCUCGACAUUUCGAUUUCAGAGGCCAGGAGAUAAAAUGCUUCUCCCACUUCCCUGCGGCAGAAUGCUCACAUCCUGUCCUGCAGCCUGGGAAGAGUGGCUAAGCUCUUCUGGAUAUGUUUGGGUUCUUGGAAAGAAUUCUGGCUGGACAUCUCAGUUAACCCCUUCCUUCCAUUGGCUUAUCCAAGGAGCUGGGCGAGGAGAAGGAACUGCCACAGCUAUCAAAAGAAGGUAACUGACACUGGGUGGUCGCAAAGACUGGUAUUGACCACAAGAAGCAAUGAGUUAUACAUAACUACCAUGGGAUCGAGAAUUGCCAAUAAUAGCUCCAGACAGUGGAGAGACAGGAUCUGGUUUCCUCCUUAGACAUUAAAGUCAUCAAUGGAGUUUUAAGAAUUAAUAUUAAACUGAUAAACAUGCAAACGAUUAUGCAUAUGUAAGGGGCACUGUACAUUUUAAUACAUGCGUAACAUAAACACUGAAUAAUGUUUAAAUGAAGUGUAUAAUUCUCUUAAACACUUGUCAUGCUUUUAUGAUGAAGAUGGUAAAUCCUUUCUUCUUUUUUUAAAUUUUUUUUUCUCUUUUCUUUCCUUGGAACUCACCCUGUAGACCAGGCUGUGCUUCAACUCAGAGAUCACCUGCCUCUCCCUCCCAAGUGCUGGGAUUAAAGACUUGUUCUACCAGGACCCGGGAGGCAGGCACCACCUCCACUGCCGUGUUUCCGGAUGACUUACCAAGAACUUGUCAAAAGGUAACAAAGCUUAGUGAACAGGGAGGCCAAUUUGUUCACAGCUGAGGAAUCUCAGAGUCACGUGGGCCCUGUUGCUUACAUAAUACUUCUUCUCGUGGACGACUGCCUCAGAGAGAGUGGGAAAGAAACCCUCCAUUUCCCCUCUAUGGCUUCUCAGCCUUUCUCAUCACACCGAGGAGGGAGGCGUUCAGAACACCAAGAAUACAUCAAUCAGAGGAAAAGACAGAACAACAAGAAAAAAAAAUAGAGAAAGACCUCUGACAUUUCAGAGAGGCUGUUACUGCCCAGAGAUUUCAUUUCUGUCACAAGAAACUUACACACUUGGCAAUAAGCCAUAUAAGAGAGAGAAAACAUGUAGGCACUGUCCACGAGAUACGUAAUCCCUGUGGGGGAAAUGCUAGCUUUCUGGGGUGGAACUUGUCUUCAAAGGGAGAGUGAAGAUGCCAAUAGGUACUGACUACAUCAGGAGCUCUGGAAUAGAAUGGACCUACCGUCUCUGGCUUCCUAUGGUACCACACCAUAAAUAGGAGUCUCCUGUGUAAGAUUAAACUUCGAGAGAGAAAUCACUGAUGGAAGUAGUACUAGUACUAGUAGUAGUAGUAGUAGUGGUAGUAGUACUAGUAGUAGUAGUAGUAGUACUAGUGGUAGUAGUAGUAGUGGUAGUAGUAGUAGUAGUAGUAGUACUAGUGGUAGUAGUAGUAGUGGUAGUAGUAGUAGUAGUAGUAGUAGUAGUAAUAGUAACAAUGAUAUCACUGGCUGAUUUAAAAUUGUUCUGGGAGCAAUGUAAUUUCGAAUAGCCCACUCUUCCCCUGAUUCCUUCUGUGGUGUAACUAGCUUCAUUGUCACCUCUGUCCACAUUUAAGAGAUUGCCAUUUGACAUCUGCCCUGCCACCGUAUGAAGCUUUCAUUGUCCUACACUUAGAAACACUUUCUAAGUCACGAGAUCUCUGUCAUCUUCAUUUGGUUUUUCCCACUGAUUUCAUGACUUGUUCUGUCCUUUUUGAAACUUGCAGCCCCACUCUGCCUCCUGGCCCUUUCUGGUCUCAGGAUUCUGGCCUCUUGGAUGCCCCUAUGCCUCCUGCGACCCUUUCCCAUAAUGCACUUGUCAGAAUUCUGCUCUCAGCUGUGCUCACUUCAUUGUCUACAUCUCCUCUGUUGGCCCUGGUGUGGUUCUACAUGUGCCAGUCCUUCCUGGGUUUCUAUCUCAGGUUGGGCUAUUCAACAUGCUCUGUCACACUGUAAGUGCCUAUCUGACCCUUCAACACCAAUAUUCUAAAUCUUUCCACACCCCUCUCCUUCUUCUAAGAUAGAGUCUUGCUAUUUAACCCAGGCUGACCUCAAAACUGUGGCCCUCUCACCUCACUCUAUUUCUCUCCCUACAACCAAUCCACUCCUGAUUAAAAGGGUUGCAAGUAUGAACCCCUGUAAACUGUGUCUGGAUGGUUCAAUAUAUGGAAAUCCAUUAAUGUAAUCCACUAUAUAAACAAACUCAAAGAAUAAAACCACAUGAUCAUUUCAUUAGAUGCUGAGAAAGCAUUUGACAAAAUUCAACAUCCCUUCAUGAUAAAAGCCUUGGAAAGAUCAGGAAUUCAAGGCCCAUACCUAAACACAGUAAAAGCAAUAUACAGCAAACCAGUAGCCAAGAUCAAACUAAAUGGAGAGAAACUUGAAGGAAUCCCAUUAAAAUCAGGAACUAGACAAGGCUGCCCACUCUCUCCCUACCUAUUCCAUAUAGUACUCGAAUUCCUAGUCAGAGCAAUUAGACAGCAAAAGGAUAUCAAAGGAUACAAAAUACAAAAGGAAGAAGUCAAAAUAUUACUAUUUGCAGAUAAUGCGAUAGUAUACUUAAGUGACCCCAAAAAUUGCACCAGAGAACUACUUAAUCUGAUAAACAACUUCAGCAAAGUGUCAGGGUAUAAAAUCAACUCAUACAAAUCAGUAGCCGUCCUCUACUCAAAGGAUAAAUAGGCUGAGAAAGAAACUAGGGAAACGACACCCUUCACAAUAGUCACAAAUAAUAUAAAAUACCUCUGUGUGACUCUAACCAAGCAAGUGAAAGAUCUGUAUGACAAGAACUUCAAGUCUCUGAAGAAAGAAAUCAAAGAUCUCAGAAGAUGGAAAGAUCUCCCAUGCUCAUGAAUUGGCAGGAUUAAUAUAGUAAAAAUGGCUAUUUUGCCAAAAGCAAUCUACAGAUUCAAUGCAAUUCACAUCAAAAUUCUCAUUCAAUUCUUCAUACUGUUAGAAUGAGCAAUUUGCAAAUUCAUCUGGAAAAACAAAAAAUCCAGGAUAGUGAAAACUAUCCUCAACAAUAAACGAACUUCUGGGGGAAUCACCAUCCCUGACCUCAAGCUGUAUUACAGAGCAAUAGUGAUAAAUACUGCAUGGUAUUGGUACAAAGAGAGGUGGGUAAAUCAAUGGAAUAGAACCGAAGACCGGGAAAUGAACCCACACAUCUAUAGUCACUUGAUCUUUGACAAAGUCGCUAAAAUCAUCCAGUGGGGAAAAAUUUAAAAGGAGCUAAACCAAUUUUUCUUUCAAUGUUCUUUGACUCCCCAACAUCUUAUCUUCUGUUUACAACUAUCUUCCCAUCUCACUGAAGUUUGAUGUAGGAGUCCAUGGGGUUUCUUCUCUUCACAUAUUUCAUGCUCACAUUGCUCCCCUCCAAGCUCCUGGCUGAUACAUUAGAUUAGACAUUGUUUCUCCUGGCUGCUACACUAGAUGAGACAUUGUUUCUUGCAUGUGUUUUUGAAGACCGGAGUUGCCAACCCAUGCAAAAACACUGUCAGAGUGAUUGUUUCUUGAUUGUUCUGAGGUGACAACAGAAAACAUAUGGUCACUGACGACAAUCCAAGUAGCUCCAACAGUUGCCUACAGGAGUGGAAGGGGAGUUCUCACAGGAUCAUGGACAACUCAGAUGUCCUGCAUUGCUGAAGGCACACUCAGCAUGGGUGACAACUCACAAAAGCUGCAGCUCUAAAUGUCCCUGCCUAACGUGCAGGCAUUUCCCCCUCAGAUUAUCUGCUUCCCCAAGACAGAUCUCAGGAGUUUCAUAACUUCCUGAGCUCUGAGAUUUGACCUUAAACACUCCUGUUGCCUCUGAGUCUCCUGAGCCUCUUCUCCCAGUCAGGAGCAAAUGUUUCUGCUCCCAGGCAUGGCUGCAUGAUGAAGAUGCUUGUCCUUUCUAAAUCAGAUCUUGGUGCUGUCCUGCUACUUGCUGUCCAGUGGUGUCCCCUGGCCCAGAUUGGUCAACAAAUUCUUCCACACAAUGAAGUCUCCAGAACCUGACCUUUGCUUCUUCACAACAACUGUUUGCACAAUACCCAUGAAGCCACAACGUCCGAUUCACUCUUGUUUCUAGUGCUUCCUCAAAAUGUGAAUUUAAAUAAUGCCAAUUUCAGGUCGCUCCCUAAAUAAGCAUGAAGUGGGUAUAGCAUCCUUUCUGUUUUCUAAGAUUUAAAAAAUCUUCUGUAUACAAAUGCCUCUAGUCUUUAAAGUUCACAAUAUAGCUAUGGGGAGAUGUGAGCAAGUUUCGGAUGGUGGCACACAGGCGAGAACUGAACUGUUGCCAGCUUGAGAUACUUCAAGGUUCACAGAGAUCAAGUGUCCCUCGCCUGAAAUGUGUGAACCAGUGUGGUCCUGAUUUCAGAUAUUUUUUAGAUUGCAGGGUAUUUGCAGAUACAAUGAGAUAUUUUAGCAAUGGCUCCAAAGGUUAAACAGAGUUCACCAGUGGUUCAGUACAUCUAUACACAUAAACUGAGGAUCAGUUUACGUUGUUUUGUGCUUGAGAGAGUUCUAUGGUAUAGAAGUUUCUAUGGCAGCAUCAUGUCACCACUGAAACAUUUCAGAUUUGGAAUUUUCAAAUUCGUGAUGUUCGGCAUGCACAGCAUCAAUCCUGUGGGACAUCUGCUGCCUCAGAUCCCUGGAGCGUAAUGUCAACACGGAUGAGACAAAAGUUCUCCACAGAUUUCUGCAGGAUGAACCAUGCAUGUGUAAGAUUACAACAUGUCAUCUUCUCAAUUAGACAAAACAAACGAGUAAUUCCAUAAAACAAAAUGAGGUGUGCUGUUCAUUUCUAUGAAAAUAAAACAGCCCUUGUUUUCCGACAAAGGAAGUCAAAAUUCCUAGUUGUCGCUCCAGGUGUCUUUUAUUGGUUAUUGUAGAGUUCCGGUCCCAUCUGGUUGCCAGACUACAUGCUCAUCAAAGAGUGAAAAAAAUGUUUCUGGUUCCUCUGCUGACUACAGCUCUCCUAGCAGACAAAUUCUGGUAUCAUCAGGACUGCGAAAACUUUCAAUAAACAUUCACCCUUCGUAAAUGGAUAAGUCAAAAUAAAAGGGUUAUUUUAGUACAGAAUGAAGAUGGCCAGCUUCUGUCUGUCACCAGCUUCCUAGUGCAAGAACCUCUCACACAGGCUCAAAUCAAAGAGCUAAGACCCAUCGCAAUUAACAGCGAGUACCGAUGUCGGCCAGAAUGAGGGAGAAAAGAGGAGAUAAAGACUUGGGAAAAAAGGGAAGUAUCCUAAGUGAGGGAACUGACAUAGUAGCCUCUCCUCAGAUCAGAGCAGCAAUUACAGAAGCAUCAUUUGCUUCUGGGAACCUAAUCAGAUGGCCUGCGUGUACUUCAAGGAUGUUCUCCAAUGGAAUCUUUCUUCUGCAACCAGAUAAAUAAAAGAUGCCAGGUAACCUGUCUCAGGCUGCACAUCUAAUACACACACACACACACACACACACACACACACACACAUACACACACAUAUACACACAAAUACAUACACACAUACACACACACACACACACACACACACACGUUAUAAAUACAGGCACGGAUGCUUCCGAAUGUCUUUUUUGCAGUCUAUUAUACUAAUCUAACUCUGCUGGGGGUUUUUUUCUUCCCAAGAAUGCUGCAUACUUUCUUAAGACCACAGAGAAGAAAACUCAAAUUCACAUAGGUUAAGUCAUUCUCUGCCUUUCCAAAUGAGCUACAAAGUCAGUACUCAUGGCUCCAUACAACACUUACUACUGUACUUAACACAGAUGGGUACUCAUUUAUUUCUUUGUCCCCAAGGAGUCUACAAAGCCAUAACUCGGAGGACAACGUUCUGCCUUUCUUCUAUCUCCAGCAUGGCUUGGUGGAGACUCCAAAAUGCCACUCACGGACAAGUAAUGCAGCUUAAAAUUAUUCGUGUUUGGACAAUUGUGUUUCGACAAUAGUAUUUGGACAAAUCAAUUUCCAAAAAAACAUGAUUAUAACAUAAACAACAUUCAUUUUCUGAGGAUGAUUUUGGCUGAAUCUCCAUAAAUAUGAAGUCAUUGUAUUUUAACUCAAAUUGCUUACAGACUAGCAGGAAACUGCAGAAAGACUGUAAUGAUGUUCUAUUUAUAAAUACCAGGCUACACACGGCCACUUGACCAGUUUACCACUCAUUUUGAUAUUAACCGAUCGGGCCUGUCACUGCAAUUCACUUUGGGUAGAAAUCAAUCAGUGGGCAUGUGAACUACAUAUGUGCUGCUCAGGGAGUCUAUGAAACACAAGGCUGGACAGAAAGAAUUGUGAGGUGAGAGCUAUCCAUGUCGUGAACAAAGAGCGACCUUUCGAGGGAGGAGAGAGCCCUGUAGAAGGCACGAAGUGAAAAGGCAAGAAAUGGUGUGGAGUGUGUGCUUCGUGGGAGGAAAUGGGUUAGCCUGGGAAAUUGGGGGGGCUAUCUCUAGGUAACUGGUGGAGCUGUUUUGGUAAUUAUGCAAAGUAGUUUUUAUCUCUGUGGGAAGUGCAGUGUCAUGAAACAGGUUCUGGGCUGUGUGACAGGGCCUGAGAGCAUGCUGUAGACCUAGAGAUCAGAUGUGCUUUAUAAAAUGGACUGCCAUGUUGGAGUUUAUGAAAAAUGUGACAGACAAGGACUGUCAUUGUGGAGAGCAGCUACUUAGUGAAGGGGAAUUGCAGGCUGAGGCAGGAGACCAAAGGUGGGGCUGGAGGCACCCCAGGACCAACCCCCGAUGCUCUAAGUGGCUAUAUGUCAUAUGCCACAGUCUAUAAAGAGCUGCUGGGGAACUGGGAGCUUAAAGUCAGGCGUUAAAAUUCUACUUUAGUUUCUGAUCAUGAAGAAAAAAAUAGUUCUCAAUCUCAAGCUUACAGUCAUGAUGAAAUUUUAAAGUUCAAAAACAAGGAGGUUAAAAGCACACCAUAAUCCUUCUUUCGCCAUUGGACAAACCCGGAACACCGCAGUGACCAGCUUCCUGCCUCACCUCUGCGUCUUAGUUCCUAGGUUUUCAUAAAAACCCACGGAGGAAACAUUUUCAGUGACCUUAAUCAGUACUCAAAUCAAGAAAGGGAGCUGGGAGGGCAGUGGAGGCCAGAACAGGUCUAAGGAAAAGCCCGACGGCUGGCACCUGGAAAUGUCCCCCACUCUACCCUGCACCCUGGCACUGUUUCCAACGCUGCUGACAUCCCGAGAGUCUCUCAUUCCCAUGGUCUACCCUUGGGGACAGCUGGAAAACAGCCGUCUCAGCACUUUGCCUUUGUUUCAUCUGGAUGCUUUCUUAGCUGCACACACUCAGCUCAGUCCUCUGCAGAAAUGACAAGUGGGAAGGGGAGGGGCCCCGAAACAGGGGUCCACUGUAGAAAACACUCCAUUGGGGACCGGAGUCAGAAAAGCUCAAAACCAUGCUUUUCUUAAGGUGACAGUUUGGAGUCUGAGAUUGAGAGGGAAGUUGUUCUUUCUAGCAUCAAACUUCAAGGCUGAGCAGUGCCUACGCUUUGUGCAGCAAUGCAGGGGUGGCAAAUGCAUGGAUGUGGCCCAGCAGCUUGGCAACACUGCAGCCGCAAAGGCUAGGGUUCCUCCUUCUUGUGCUCUACUGCGGAACUGCAGUUACACAGCCCAGGGAUCCGACAUAAGAGGCUGCUUGCUUCCUGUGCCUCCUCCCUCCCUGCUUCCAACAGAAAGCAGAAAAUAGCAUUUUGUAAGUGGAGUAUCGGUCCUUGAGUUAAAUAUUGAAUGUCCCCCAGACCAGGAAGACUUUGUAAGGAAAAGGCAAGUAAGAAUAGUCACCUGUGAGCUUGCAUCUGUCCUGACAACCUGUGGGGACAUUUUUCCUGGGCUGCCUUUCCUUUGGGGAACUUGAAGGCAUACAGCAGGCUUUAGGCAUCCCCACACACCUACCGUAUGCUCUUCAGCACUGGAGGAAGGGAGGGAGCAAUGGUGGAGAAAGCCCUGCUUUGUCAGAGAUGCAGAAGUAGUUCCCCAAACAUUUCCUUACUCUCAAAGGGCUGGGAAGCUCUAAGCAAAGGUAUUUCUCCCUCACAUCUUUGUCUUAGGGCCUUUCUCAAUUUCUUCCUCUGAUAAUUUCUCUAUCAAUGAUGUAAUCUGGCAGUGGCCACAAGAUGCUCAUAGAUUUAAAAAAAAAAUACAAGAGCUGCCACUGUGUGCAUCUCAUUUAAUUUCUUUGUAGGUAAAGUCAGAACGAGAGCGAACACCUUGUUGCUAACAGGUGAUCACGGUCAUAGCUCCUUAGGGCUUAAGUUCCCACUGUACUUGAAUUUCACAUCUUCUCAUUUGUUGGUUGGCCGAUAAGUAGGGGAUUUAAUAACUAAGGGGCGGCAGACGCAGAAGACCAGGAGAAGGUGACAGCCCUGGAAGCCGUUCCACACUCAUUAGCUGCCGUACCUUUCUAACUACUCACCUUUGAACACUUCUACCUUAGCGGUAUCGCUUUAAGGCAAAAGGAACUUAAAAAAAAAUAAUUACACAUAACCCUUUCCUGAAAACAUUUAAUUCCCUAAUGCCAUACCCUUCACCUCCCUGAAAACAACUCAAUUUAGAAAUGCCUUGGUUGUUUUUGUUGAUUGUAAGAUGUUAUAUCCCCUCCUUCUGUUUGUUCUUUCCCAACACUAUGGGAAUUCAAGGGGAUUCUUACUUCUAGCCAAUGUUGUGAGGGGGGCAGGGGCUGCCACAGGGAACCUGAUUGUCAAAUUUUUUCAGGUAGGGUAGGGAGAUGGCAGGAGGCUCCAUUUGGAAAAACAAAAGGAUGAGAAGCAGAACAGGGAGGGACCUGUUUCAGGGGUCAGAACAAGGAUGAUGGAUCUGAGUGUGUGAAGGGCUCAAGAGUGAGUACUCUAGCCCCUCCUUUCAGAUUCACUUAGUUCCCUGUCAGUCAAGGAUCCUUAUAGAACAACCAUUCUUAAGCCCCACCUACCCUCACAGACAGCAACGCACAGAUCAAUAUGAACCUUGGGAAAAAAAAUCAGUCAAGACAAGCAAUGUCUUACACAGCGCUAAGCCCCUCCGUUCGCAAACCCCCAUUCCGUCUGAGUCUAACGGGUCUGAAGGCUUCCACAAUGGCCUGACAUUCAGACACUCAUUAGAAGGACAUUUAGGAUACCAUCUACCGACCUUUCCGGAAACUAAAGCACCGUUUGAUUCUUCUGUAUGUAGUUUUGGGGAUGAAAGGAGUUGAUGCUAAGGCACCUGAAGGGCGUCCCCCCGAAUUUCGGUCUUCAGGCAUCAUGCAGGCCCCCCGAGUUUUUAUAAGAUCAGCUCAGGCUUCUUUAAAACCUGCCUCUGUGUGGAAGCCCACAGACGCUCUUCCUCAUGUUUGUUUAUGUGUCAAGUCUCAAGUGCUGAUUCCUAGAACUCCGGGGUUUUGAUCAUCCAAGUCCCGAGUUAAGGUAACAUCUCAUUUAGUCCUCUUUGGUAAGAAACAAAACAAAUUACUCUCCUUCUCCCUUUGCCUAAUUCAGUGAGUUUUGAGGAUUUUUUUUGUUGUUGUUGUUAUUGCUGCUGCUGCUGUUGUCUGGUUUUGUUUUGUUUUUAAGUUUCUGCAGACAUUCCAAAAUGUCACAGGAAAAGAACUGCAGCAAGCAAGCGGCGACUACCUUCUCGAGGCAGGAGUGGUUUCCUUUAUUGAGAACUGUCUUCUCAGCUGGACAGAAAGUCCUCUAGAAAGGUCAGCAAGUGGCCCUGUGCGUGUGGGGAGGAGGAAGAAGGACUGAAAGGCCCCUCGGGAGUACUUCUGGACGGUCCUGGCUGGCUCCUUUAAUCUGAGAGAAAGGCGAAGGAAUCCUUGGCACCUUCUCCAGAACGCAUUCCAGUGCACGGUAAUUCCUUGCAAAGGACUCCCCUGCUCCUUUUAUGGUACCCCCUCAGCCUCUGAUGCUCUCUGCAGGCUUCUCCCUUUUCCCUUCGGUCUUCCAGCUCCCCGCGGAGCCGCCACGUAAGAAGAGUCCGGUGCCCAUUCUCGGAGUCUCCUUGGCUGUUCCGGAGGCGGUUUUGCAGGGAGCUCUCCUCCCCCUCCUGCUCCGGUUCCCUUUUCUCAAUGGAAGCUGGGCGGGAGCUGGCAGGGCUGCUGCUGCCUAGUCACAGCUGUGGCUGCGCAGCCUCCCGUGCCUGCUGGUCAGACGAAGCAGGUGCAGUAGCAUGAGGACCGGAGGAAGGGUGCCUUCUUCCCUGUGAAGCCCCUUUAAUUUCUUUUUUCUGACUUUGCACUGGUCCUACAACUCUUGUCUGACUCAGCACUUUCUCUGCCGUCUGGUUUAGUCCCUCCACUCACUCUCUCUCUCUCUCUCUCUCUCUCUCUCUCUCUCUCUCUCUCUCUCUCUCUCUCCCCUCUCUCCCUCUCCCUCCCUCUCCCUCUCUCUCUCUCCCUCUCUCUCUCUCCCCCUUUCUCCCUCUCGUCACACAAGAUUCACAUGCGUUCUAUUUGGGGAUGCUAUAGUAAAAUGCAGACUUUUAUGUCACAUAUUACUACAUAUCUAUAUAUUUUUAAUGUGUCUGUAAAAAUUAAUUCUGGCAGCAGGGGAGUCUACAGGUGCGAUUGCAAAACCAAAUCAGUUGAAGCAAGUUUGAAAAUGUAUCCACUUCUCUGGUCUGAAAGCCAGCUCCUGGGAGCUCCCCCCAGCCCUUGUCCUCCAAACCUUCCAGUCCUGUUCACUGAAUGAUUUACUGAUUUGGGUUAAUCAUUCACCCACCUGGCUGCCUCCUAAGCAGAUCUGGAAUGCUGGCAUUUUAACCCUAGCUGACCCCCCUGGCCACCUUCCUCCCCAGCCCUUCAGCAAGAACUUCCCCAAACUCUGAGUUGUAUGAGGUUGGUACCCUUCAGGAUAGCAUGACUGCUCAAUGUGGUUUAGCCCCCUGUGUCAUAGCCUGGCAGAUAGCAGUGUGUGUGUGUGUGUGUGUGUGUGUGUGUGUGUGUGUGUGUGUGUGUUCACUCUAGGUGACUGAAAACCACUUAGCAGAUUAGCAUUGGCCACCUCUAUGAACACUAUCUCAAAGUCAACUGGAACAAAAUUCAAUUUACAGAACAAGCGAGGGGCUAAAGAGCUGGCUGGCUCUGUGGUUAGGAGUACAUGCUGCUCCUGUAGGACAGGAGUUUGGUCCCCACUGCCCAUGCUGGACAGUUUACACCAUCUUGUACCUAUAGCUUUAUAGUCAUCUGGUGCCCCUAGCCUCUGAAAACCUGAAACCUCUGGAAAACAUAUUUAAAAGAGCCACUCCACUCAAUUAAAAAUAAAAUACAAAACAAACAAGCAUAAAACACUAAAACCAAACAUUUCCAGGGUCGAACACCUUGACGAGCAGCUUUGGUUUGGUUUUAUUAAAUUCUAUUGUGAGAAUUUUGUACAUGAAGACAGGGUAUCAUUCCCAGUCCAUUCCUCACUCCAUGUCCUGUGUCCCAGUCCCUCUCAGGUGAGUGAUUCUUUAAUUAUUACUGACACAUUCUCUCUCUCUCUCUCUCUCUCUCUCUCUCUCUCUCUCUCUCUCUCUCACACACACACACACACACACAUACACACUCAAACACAAAUGCAUAGACACACAUUUAGACCCUGGCACACAUACACAGGCACACAUGCACACAAACACAGGCACACACAUAUAGACACAGACACUAAUAUACAUACAUAUACUCAUAUUUAGUUCCUGGCACACACACAGGUACACACACACACAUAGGUAUACAUACACAGAUACACAUACACACACACACAGACACACACUCACAUAGACAUACAUUAGGUCCUGGCACACACACAGAUACACAUACACAAAUGUAUAGGCACACAUAGACAUAGACACACAGAGAUACACACAAACACAAGACACACUCACAUAGACACACAUUUGGCACAUACACAGGUACACAUAUAGGCACACAUAUGCAGGCAUACACAGUCAUACACACACACACACACACACACACACACACACACACACUUUUAGUUUACUUUCAUGCAGACACAAUUGGCUUCCCAACAUGGGAACGUUAAGCAGACAGCCCAGUUCAGGAGAUCUAGAUUCUGUGGUGAAGUUUUCCAGCUGGGCAGUUAAUCUGAGUAGUUGUAACAUAACUGUUUUCAUUUGAUGAAGAGUCCUACGAUUUCUCUCUUUCCUACUUAGUUGUUGAUUGCUACGAGAGUGGGGCGCUAGAGUCUCAGGUGUUUGCCACUGUGAACCAAAGCACGUUAUGGUAACGUCAGAAAGAGCACAUGCUCUGUAUGAUUAGGAGACCUACCCAUUUUGAGGCUGAAGUACAUUUUGUAGCUUCCCCAGGAGGUGCCAGAACAGUGGUACAAACAUUUAAGAUGUAUCUGAAGGUGGCAAGCCGCGGAAGGCAGGCCAGGUGCCUCCUAAUCAAAGACCACAGAAGUCUGGGUGACAGAAAGGAAGGAGGAGGGCGAGAAAUAGCUAUUUGGAAUUAAUAAACUCAAGGGUCCACAGUAGAUACAGGAGGGGAAGUGUGUUCUUUGGUCAGAGGGAAUUAUGUGAUCCAGGUGUGACUAAGAGCUUUAUCGAGACACAUCUGGAACAUCGUCUACGCACGGAGAGUAUCCGAAGCAGCAGUGGUUUGACGCAUGCGCAGCCAUGACCGGUUAGUCUUAAAAAGGACACUACAUACCUGUUAGCUCUCAGCCACUCACCAGCCCAACCCUCCGCCCUAGCUCCGGGCAUCUGUUCUCUGUGAUAUCCUAUCUAUGCUUUCCUGUGAACAGAAUCAUACAAGUGGACCGUGGGGAGGGGUAGGGCCUGGUUUCCUCACUUAGGGUACUGUUGCCAAGACUCAUUCAAGUUGCGGUGUGAACUAAGCCUUCCUUCCUUCCUUGUGGUGAGUAAUGAAUCAUUCAAUAUCUGCGCAGUCCAUCUCUCAGAACACAGGAGACACGUUCUAAGAAGUCGUGUGUCAGUCAGUGUUGUCUACUUAAAAAUGGCCACGGUGUGAGGUGAUGAAAUGAUAUGACUGUGUGGACCCUGCUGUGUGAUGUGUCUCUCAGUUCCUGAAGCAUCUUGGUGCAAGUGUACAGCCACUCCACAGAUACUUCAGAUACACACACACACACACUCACACUCACACUCUCACACACACACUUACACAUUCACAAACACACACACUCACACACACACGCAAAUACAGACACCCACACCCACAUCAACACACUCACACUCACACACACUCACACACUUACACACUCACAAACACACACACACGCAAAUACAGACACCCACAUCCACACACACUCACACACAAACACACAAUACAUUCACACACACACACUCACACACACUCACACACACAUACACACUCACACACACUCACACACACACUCAUACACACACUCACGCACACACACAAACGCACAAUACACACUCACACACACUCUCACACACACACUCAUACACACAAACACAGACACACACACAUUCUAUUUAUUAAGUCAUUUUUUAUCAGUUUCAUAAGAAGUAACUCUAGGGUUUUACUUACUCACAUUUAAUUGAUUUUGAAAUUAGCAUGUAAAAAUAAGGAUCGUUUCGACAUUUUUGUAUACCACAAUCACUUGUUAGUCAAAAAAUGGAAAAAAAAGUUCAAAAUAAAAUAACCUAAUAUUAUUCCGUUUUAGAAUUCAACAUAGUCGCAGAAGUUUGAUUAUUAAUGACGUGUGAUCUGGAUUAAGCCCCCUAGGAGUCAUCUAGAUAGGCAUCUAACCAAUAGUGUUGAAUAAUUUACUAUUUAUCUCAACGUUUACCCUUUGGGACAUAGGAGCUCACAGGACCAGCAGACGGAAGAAAAGGAUGAAUUGCUUCCUCGACUUUCUGCUUUCCAUAGCUAAAAGCUGCUCACCUCCUCCAAAAGGUCCCCAUAUGACUCGGCGGAUGGACUUCACCCAGUCUUCCAUGUCAUUCUGGGUGCUCGCCAUGAGGAGAUAGCUCUCAUGAUUGGCUGUCAUCCGAUCUCGUUCCCCUCCUGCAAAAACAUAAGGACAUUCAGUGGACAGUCCAACCGGUGAUCAAAGAUUCCUCAUCUUCCCCUCCAAGGAAGUCCCAGAAUCAAGGGCGGGGCCUCGCGCGGUCAGCCCUGCGUCCCACCGAAUGAACUGGAAAUAUUUACCUCAGCUUCUGGGGGACCUGGAGUGGGGAUUGCUGCUUUAAAAGGAAAGGCUCUUGUGUUUCCAGGAGAAGGCUAGAGACCAAAUACCAUUCCCUAAACAAUGCCUGGGGUUUUCUGUCCUAGCAACAACCCACAGGCCAGUGGUCACCGUAAUCCCGUCCAUUCACAGAGCUGCUGAAUAGGGAGAAACAGUAGAGACAAAGCAAAUGGAGGAGAUGAUGGCGGAGUGGUCCACAGAGCGCUCGGAAUGUCGUCAGGAGCAUUGAACCCUGCUUAGAUCACACUCCAUGGACAGCAGGUCCGUGGUCCAGGGUGCACUGGGCACACCAUGGAAUGGGGGAGGGGAGCGCUGCAUGCCUGGCCUACUACAGAAGGCAAACCAUAUCCAAAGACCCUGACGCCGAAGUAGGAACUUCCAAAAUCCCUGGGUGCAGAGGGGGGUUGUGCCUCUUUUAUUUUCCCACCUGUUCCUGGAAGAUCAUUUCAGUCUCUAAGAUCGGAUUUGAGGAGUUAAAUUCUAAAGCACACAAUUUAAUGCCCCGGGAACUCCUACAGUGUACUUUAAUUUCUCUGGAAUGCAAUUUUCAGGUGCGUGGUGAAAGAGUGACCACAGCUGACCCUGAGAAUCUGUUAGAUAUAAGGCUGCUUCUCUGAGCACUGGUGCCGAUAGGGACAUGCAUCUGUCUUGAGACAUCAUUCCUAAUGAUCAUGAAAGGAUAAUUUAAAAAGUGGGGUACCAUUUCACCAAACUCUGGUGGUCAAUGUUAUACUAACAGCUCAGGGCCUCCGUAGCUAUUGGCAUUUAAUUUCCAGCAGACAUUGUAAACUUGUAGCCUUCGGAUCAAUAAGUCACAUUCAAGGGUUUUCUUCGGUUAGCUCAUCAUUUGUGAGUAGACCGGAAUACUUCUGGGAAAGGCUUGUAGGCUUCCCUUACAGAAGACACCACCUGCCUCUAUCCUUGUACACCCAGACUAACUCACGCGUAGCUUUGAAAGCUACGUUCGGGCGUCUGAGUCCUGGAUUCUAUAGGACCUUCUUAGCUGAGAGUCCUGGCUGAGGCGUCCCGUGAAUAGAGGGAAAUUCGAGGUCAAUCCACCGAGGGGCUCAGCUAGUCUUUCUCAUACAUCUGGAUAAGCAAGUGCUAGAUAAACGUCAAGUAGGCUUCCCCAUACCAAAAUGCAUCUUAAAUAAACAAAGGGUGGCUUUUUGUGAGGAUGAGGAGAAAGUAUAUGGCAAUAAGCUAGAGUGCACAAGAGUAGCAACUCUGUAUUUUCUGCAUCUCAUUUAACCGCCUUUUACCAGGGAGACAACACGGCUAAUGAAUGUAUGAGCAAUUAUUCAAGAGUAACCAGGAUAUUAUUUUAAGCAUUAUCUUCCAUCGAUAUCACUAUAUAUAGAGUGUUCAUUUAAAUUAUAUAAUGGACAUGCAUGUGAAUAUACCAUGCUUCAGCACGCACAUGCAUGCUUGUAGCACAUUUGAAUGCCAGAAAUAACUCUAUGGUAAACUAAAACAACACUUCAGUGGGCAUGAUACAGUACUAAGAAUCUGUUUUGCAUUCCGAUCCAUUUAUGCCAUCACACUGAGACAGACAAUUAGCAUUUUGAAAUCAGAAUAUUUUAAUUACUGCCUUUGCCUGAAGGAUGCUUACUAAAUCAGAUAGCAAUUUCCUGCUGUGUCACUCAGCCCAGAGACAGACAGCCCUGGAGAGGAGAGCAAGCUACAGACAUUGCAGAGCCUGUCUGCCCAGAAGCAGAGGGAGAGGGGGCUGAUAAGCACAACUGGCCAGUAUUCCAGACUCCUUAUUUGAUUCUUUAUCUCUGCCAAGGGUGCUGUGUGUCUGACCUUGAAUCUCAUUGAGGCUGCCAAUCAUAGCUGUGAAAUCCCAAGUGUGAGCUCCAGUCAUUGAUAUAGAUCUGGGCUCCUCCAUGUGUCAGCAAAGGGGAAAAUGGUUUAGAACAGCCUUCCACAGGAGUCUUGGUGGAAACAUGCAUUUCUUUGCUAAAAACGAGAUGAUGUAAUGAUAGCGUCAUGCAUGUGCGAUCCAGAGUUUAUAUUUUCUUAGGUUUUAGAUAGUUGCUGGUGCCCAAAGACACUGCAUGAAAAUACCAGAAAUUAAUAAACCACAGAAUUUAAUGGUGUAUCAUGA